UACGGAGAGUGCAAGCAUUAAUCGGAAUUAUUGGGCGUAAAGGGCGCGUAGGCGGGGAGACAAGUCAGAUGUGAAAUUCCGGAGCUCAACUUCGGAGCUGCAUUUGAAACUAUCACUCUUGAGGAUUGACGGAGAAAACGGAAUUCCACGUGUAGCGGUGAAAUGCGUAGAUAUGUGGAAGAACACCGGUGGCGAAAGCGGUUUUCUAGUUUAUUCCUGACGCUGAGGCGCGAGAGCAAGGGGAGCAAACAGG
rnacentral:rRNA from 1 species